rnacentral:lncRNA from 1 species
GGAGGAGAAGAAGAAGAAGAAGAAGAAGAAGAAGAAGAAGAAGAAGAAGAAGAAGAAGAAGAAGAAGAAGAAGAAACAACAACAGUACCAUCCAAAUUACUGAGAUGGGGAGAGGCUGGAGUUGAUGCACUGAAUAAACAAACCAUGUCCUUCCCAGGAUCAAUUAUUUCUGUAACUCAGGAGUCUGAACCCAACCUCAUCACUCAAGAGACAAGAAAAAGAGACGCACUGCCAGAGCUAAAGCCUGAGAACCAGGAUUUAAGAAUCUAAGGACACUUCAAUCACUGUUGUCAUGUGGAAUGGAGAAUUUAGCCGUUGCCCCAUCUACUGUCACUGAACAUUUCUGGCGAGAGCAAGUGAGAUGU